AACGAGCGCUGGCGGCGUGGAUAAGACAUGCAAGUCGAACGAGAGAAUUGCUAGCUUGCUAAUAAUUCUCUAGUGGCGCACGGGUGAGUAACACGUGAGUAACCUGCCCCCGAGAGCGGGAUAGCCCUGGGAAACUGGGAUUAAUACCGCAUAGUAUCGAAAGAUUAAAGCAGCAAUGCGCUUGGGGAUGGGCUCGCGGCCUAUUAGUUAGUUGGUGAGGUAACGGCUCACCAAGGCGAUGACGGGUAGCCGGUCUGAGAGGAUGUCCGGCCACACUGGAACUGAGACACGGUCCAGACACCUACGGGUGGCAGCAGUCGAGAAUCAUUCACAAUGGGGGAAACCCUGAUGGUGCGACGCCGCGUGGGGGAAUGAAGGUCUUCGGAUUGUAAACCCCUGUCAUGUGGG
rnacentral:rRNA from 1 species